rnacentral:misc_RNA from 1 species
UUGAAAUAAACUUGAUAAGUUGUUGCUGGUUCUCUAGGGAGCAUGUGCACACUUGUCAUCUUUGUAUCCCCACCUGUGCAUCUUUUGUAGACCUUGGGUAUCUCUCUGAUUGCUUAGCACUCAGGAUUGAGGAUUGACUUUUCUGUCUUUCCUUACAUUUCCAGGUCUAUGUUUUCUCAAAUACUCUAAUGUAUGUUUAUAGAAUGUAAUCAAUAGGCCUUUUGUGCCUAUAAAUUGAUA